CAAAGAGUCCCUCCCGACUGUUUACCAAAAACACAGCACUCUGCUAACUCGUAAGAGGAUGUAUAGGGUGUGACGCCUGCCCGGUGCUCGAAGGUUAAUUGAUGGGGUUAGCAUUAGCGAAGCUCUUGAUCGAAGCCCGAGUAAACGGCGGCCGUAACUAUAACGGUCCUAAGGUAGCGAAAUUCCUUGUCGGUUAAAUACCGACCUGCAUGAAUGGCGUAACGAGAUGGGAGCUGUCUCAAAGAGGGAUCCAGUGAAAUUGUAGUGGAGGUGAAAAUUCCUCCUACCCGCGGCAAGACGGAAAGACCCCGUGGACCUUUACUACAGCUUGACACUGCUAUUUGGAUAAGAAUGUGCAGGAUAGGUGGGAGGCUUUGAGUAUAUGACGCCAGUUGUAUAUGAGCCAUUGUUGAGAUACCACUCUUUCUUAUUUGGGUAGCUAACCAGCUUGAGUUAUCCUCAAGUGGGACAAUGUCUGGUGGGUAGUUUGACUGGGGCGGUCGCCUCCCAAAUAAUAACGGAGGCUUACAAAGGUUGGCUCAUAGCGGUUGGAAAUCGCUAGUAGAGUAUAAAGGUAUAAGCCAGCUUAACUGCAAGACAUACAAGUCAAGCAGAGACGAAAGUCGGUCUUAGUGAUCCGGUGGUUCUGUGUGGAAGGGCCAUCGCUCAAAGGAUAAAAGGUACCCCGGGGAUAACAGGCUGAUCUCCCCCAAGAGCUCACAUCGACGGGGAGGUUUGGCACCUCGAUGUCGGCUCAUCGCAUCCUGGGGCUGGAGCAGGUCCCAAGGGUAUGGCUGUUCGCCAUUUAAAGCGGUACGCGAGCUGGGUUCAGAACGUCGUGAGACAGUUCGGUCCCUAUCUGCCGUGGGCGUAAGAAGAUUGAAGAGAUUUGACCCUAGUACGAGAGGACCGGGUUGAACAAACCACUGGUGUAGCUGUUGUUCUGCCAAGAGCAUCGCAGCGUAGCUAAGUUUGGAAAGGAUAAACGCUGAAAGCAUCUAAGCGUGAAGCCAACUCUAAGAUGAAUCUUCUCUAAGCUCUCUAGAAGACUACUAGUUUGAUAGGCUGGGUGUGUAAUGGAUGAAAGUCCUUUAGCUGACCAGUACUAAUAGAGCGUUUGGCUUA
rnacentral:rRNA from 2 species